rnacentral:rRNA from 1 species
AUGGCGAAGCCGCAGCAGGAGGUGUACUUCGUGUUCAUGAACUUCGACCCUGUCUACGAGCGCCUGAGGGCCGAUCGGACGAAGCAGGGGUCGGCGACGCUGGACGCGUACCUGAGCCAGAAGCACGACAAGCUCCUCGCCAAGCUCCUCCAGCCCGACACCUACUGGAAGAAGUCCUCGCUCGCCAUCGUCGACGGAUUCGCCGUCGAGAUCACCGACGCUCAGGCGAGCGUGCUGAGGUCGGCGAAGGAGGUGAGGGUGGUGGAGAAGAACCAGGAGCUUGCUUGA